rnacentral:rRNA from 1 species
GAUGAACGCUGGCGGCGUGCUUAACACAUGCAAGUCGAGCGAAGCGCUUAAGUUUGAUUCUUUGGAUGAAGACUUUUGUGACUGAGCGGCGGACGGGUGAGUAACGCGUGGGUAACCUGCCUCAUACAGGGGGAUAACAGUUAGAAAUGACUGCUAAUACCGCAUAAGACCACAGUACUGCAUGGUACAGUGGUAAAAACUCCGGUGGUAUGAGAUGGACCCGCGUCUGAUUAGGUAGUUGGUGAGGUAACGGCCCACCAAGCCGACGAUCAGUAGCCGACCUGAGAGGGUGACCGGCCACAUUGGGACUGAGACACGGCCCAGACCCCUACGGGAGGCAGCAGUGGGGAAUAUUGCACAAUGGGCGAAAGCCUGAUGCAGCGACGCCGCGUGAAGGAUGAAGUAUUUCGGUAUGUAAACUUCUAUCAGCAGGGAAGAAAAUGACGGUACCUGACUAAGAAGCCCCGGCUAACUACGUGCCAGCAGCCGCGGUAAUACGUAGGGGGCAAGCGUUAUCCGGAUUUACUGGGUGUAAAGGGAGCGUAGACGGCUGUGCAAGUCUGAAGUGAAAGGCAUGGGCUCAACCUGUGGACUGCUUUGGAAACUGUGCAGCUAGAGUGUCGGAGAGGUAAGUGGAAUUCCUAGUGUAGCGGUGAAAUGCGUAGAUAUUAGGAGGAACACCAGUGGCGAAGGCGGCUUACUGGACGAUGACUGACGUUGAGGCUCGAAAGCGUGGGGAGCAAACAGGAUUAGAUACCCUGGUAGUCCACGCUGUAAACGA